UUUCGAAGUCCUCUUCCCACCCCCUCAGAAAAGAUUUUCCCCACAAAUUUCUUUAUAAUCGUAAUCUAUUGGGUUGUCCGGAAAGUUCGUGCCGAUUUUUAAAGGAAAGAAAAAGGUCAAUAAAUAUUUGCCAUUACAUUUUUAAUCAACCAAAUAUGCACAAUGCGUCUCCAUCUUUCCCUGAAAAUAUCCUCUUCCCAGAAUUGAGGUGGUUUCAUGGCAAAUAAGUCGAAAGGUAAGCUACUAUAAAUCGGCACGAACUUUCCGGACAACCCAAUAUAUCAUUUGAAAGACUUCUGCAUCACUUGAAGUAAAGAUGUCUUCUAGAAGAUGUAUGGCAAGCCUGGAUACGGCAAGUUCAUAAUUAAGAAACAUCAGAAAAACAUUACCAAAUUUGUCAAAAUACCUUACUUUACCUACUUGGACGUGAAAUUAGGCGAACAAGAUAGGAAAUGGGCUCCUCAUAAGGUCAUCUCAAUUUGUGCUGAAGAAAUAAGACUGUUUGGUGGUGUACUGCUGAACUCAUCCACUAUAACUUCUUAAAACCUGGAAAAAACCAUUACUGCAGAAACAUAUUGCCAUGAAAUUGCCAAAAUGAACAAAAAAUUGCUACUCCUCCAUCCCAGACUGGUCAACAGAAGAGAACCAAUCAUUCUUCAUGACAAUGCUUGACCACAUGUUUCACUAAUAACACUCUAGAAGUUGAGAGAACUUGGCUACUAAGUUCUUCUCCACUCAGCUUAUUCCUCAGACAUUUCUCCUACUGACUAUCACUUUUUGAAGCACCUUGAUGGUUUUCUGCAGGUGGAGUUCAAAAAUCAAACCAAUGCUGAAAGCUCCAGAAUUCCAGAUUUUAUGUUACCAGAAUAAACAGACUUGUAACUCGGCAAAAAUGCGUUGAUUAUAAUAGUACUUACUUCGAUUGAUAAAAUUUCCACAUUGUUGAAAUAUAUUGUGAUGAAUUUCCUAUUUCAAAA